AAAAAAUUUAAACAACAGACUGAGAGCCAACAAACGGAGUGGAGCCACACCUGAACAGCCAAUGUGAUCAUGUUGAUCUGGGUGGAAUCCACAUCCAGAGGUUCUGCUGCUGUCUGGACCGUCCUGCCAUCCAACCGGGUCGUGACCCCAGUCUGGUGUUCAGAUGUUCUUCUUCAUCUGUUUGGAUCGUUUGAACAAACUAGACCAUCUGAACCGACCCAUCAGAACUCAGUGGAGGUGGUGGAGGAAGAGGAAGAGGAAGAGGA